AUUGAACGCUGGCGGCAGGCUUAACACAUGCAAGUCGAGCGGUAGAGUCCUUCGGGGCUUGAGAGCGGCGGACGGGUGAGUAAUACAUAGGAAUCUGCCUGUUAGUGGGGGAUAGCCCGGGGAAACCCGGAUUAAUACCGCAUACGCCCUACGGGGGAAAGGAGGGGAUCUUCGGACCUUCCGCUAACAGAUGAGCCUAUGUCGGAUUAGCUUGUUGGUGAGGUAAAGGCUCACCAAGGCGACGAUCCGUAACUGGUCUGAGAGGAUGAUCAGUCACACUGGAACUGAGACACGGUCCAGACUCCUACGGGAGGCAGCAGUGGGGAAUAUUGGACAAUGGGGGCAACCCUGAUCCAGCCAUGCCGCGUGUGCGAUGAAGGCUUUCGGGUUGUAAAGCACUUUCAGUCGGGAGGAAAGGGCGCAGGCUAAUACCCUGUGUAGUUGACGUUACCGACAGAAGAAGCACCGGCAAACUCCGUGCCAGCAGCCGCGGUAAUGUC
rnacentral:rRNA from 1 species